rnacentral:rRNA from 1 species
UACGAGGGGGCCAAGCGUUGUCCGGAAUCAUUGGGCGUAAAGCGCGUGUAGGCGGCUCGGUAAGUCCGCUCUGAAAGUCCAGGGCUCAACCCUGGGAUGCGGGUGGAUACUGCUGGGCUCGAGUCCGGAAGAGGCGAGUGGAAUUCCCGGUGUAGCGGUGAAAUGCGCAGAUAUCGGGAGGAACACCAAUGGCGAAGGCAGCUCGCUGGGACGUGACUGACGCUGAGACGCGAAAGCGUGGGGAGCGAACCGG